CUUUAUCUCUAGUUCAAUGAGAUAGAUGCGUUCAACAUAGUCACCAAAUUUUGAAUUAUUUAGUAAAAGAACAUCAUCUAUAUAUCGGAAAGUAGAGUUAAAGGAUAUUGCUAACUUCUUAUCUUUCUUCCUAAGAAGUUCCUGUAUGAAGUCAGCCUCAUAAUAAAAAAGAAACAAGUCGGCAAGAAGAGGGGCACAAUUCGUUGCCAUUGGAAUG
rnacentral:lncRNA from 1 species